AGCCCUUUGUCGCUAAGAUU
rnacentral:snRNA from 1 species